UACGUAGGGUGCGAGCGUUGUCCGGAAUUAUUAGGGCGUAAAGAGCUCGUAGGCGGCUUGUCGCGUCGUCCGUGAAAACCCACAGCUCAACUGUGGGCUUGCGGUCGAUACGGGCGAGGCUGGAGUUCGGUAGGGGAGACUGGAAUUCCGUGUGUAGCGGUGAAAUGCGUAGAUAUACGGAGGAACACCAGGCGGCGAAGGCGGGUAGCUGGGCCAACACGAUGACGCU
rnacentral:rRNA from 1 species